rnacentral:rRNA from 1 species
ACGCUCGACACCUACGGGAUGCAGCAGUGGGGAAUAUUGCACAAUGGGGGAAACCCUGAUGCAGCGACGCCGCGUGAGCGAAGAAGUAUUUCGGUAUGUAAAGCUCUAUCAGCAGGGAAGAAACUGACGGUACCUGACUAAGAAGCACCGGCUAAAUACGCGCCAGCAGCCGCGGUAAUCUGAGCGGGCUGGCAAGGC